GAGAGUUUGAUCCUGGCUCAGGAUAAACGCUGGCGGUGUACAUAAGACAUGCAAGUCGAACGGGAGAAGACAGGAAGAUUUAUCUACUUGUUGGACACCGUGGCGGACGGGUGAGUAACACGUAAGCAACCUGCCUAUAAGAGGGGAAUAACAGUGAGAAAUUACUGAUAAUACCGCAUAAGCUGAAGGUAUCGCAUGAUACAUUCAGAAAAGAUUUAUCGCUUAUAGAUGGGCUUGCGUCUGAUUAGCUAGUUGGUGAGAUAACAGCUCACCAAGGCGACGAUCAGUAGCCGGAUUGAGAGGUUGAACGGCCACAUUGGGACUGAGACACGGCCCAGACUCCUACGGGAGGCAGCAGUCGGGAAUAUUGCACAAUGGAGGAAACUCUGAUGCAGUGACACCGCGUAUAGGAAGAAGGUCUUAGGAUUGUAAGCUAUUAUCGUGUGAGAAGAAAAUGACCAUCACAGGAGGAAGCCCUGGCUAAAUAUGUGCCAGCAGCCGCGGUAAUACAUAUGGGGCGAGCGUUAUCCGGAUUUAUUGGGUGUAAAGGGUGCGUAGGCGGGAAAAUAAGUCAGUAUGUGAAAUCCCUCGGCUCAACUGAGGAACUGCAACUGAAACUAUUUUUCUUGAGUGUUGAAGGGGAAAGUGGAAUUCCUAGUGUAGCGGUGAAAUGCGUAGAGAUUAGGAGGAACACCAGUGGCGAAGGCGACUUUCUGGGCAACAACUGACGCUGAGGCACGAAAGUGUGGGGAGCAAACAGAUUAGAUACCCUGGUAGUCCACACCGUAACGAUGGAUACUAGAGUUGGCAAAAUAUUGUCGGUUCGCAGUACGCAUAAGUAUCCCACCUGGGGAGUACGACGCAGUAAACUCAAAGGAUGACGGGGCCCGCACAGCAGUGAGUAUGUGUAUCGAGCACGCGAGACUACAGCUGACAUAAUAGAUAUAUAGAGAUAUAGCCUACGAGUCUGAUACAGUGUGCAUGGUGUCGUCAGUCGUCUGGAGUAGUAGUCCGUACGAGGCCACUAGCUAGUGCUACUAGUAGACUACGACUGCUGUGACAGAGUGGGCACGCAAUAUCAUUGCGC
rnacentral:rRNA from 1 species